AUUGAACGCUGGCGGCAGGCCUAACACAUGCAAGUCGAGCGGAGCGGCGGACGGGUGAGUAAUGCCUAGGAAUCUGCCAGGUAGUGGGGGAUAACCUCCGGAAACGGGCGCUAAUACUGCAUACUAUCAGAUGAGCCUAGGUCGGAUAAGCUAGUUGGUGGGUUAAAGGCCUACAAAGGCGACGAUACUUAACUGGUCUGAGCGGAGGAUCAGUCAAACUGGACCGUGGACACGGUCCAGACUCCUACGGGAGGAAGCAGUGGAGAAUAUUGGACAAGGGGCGAAAGCCUGAUCCAGCCAUGCCGAGUGUGUGAAGAAGGACUUCGGAUUGUAAAGCACGUUAAGUUGGGAGGCGUUACCAACAGAAGAAGCACCGGCUAAUUUCGGGCCAGCAGCCGCGGUAAUUC
rnacentral:rRNA from 1 species